ACGAGAGGCCCAGACGUUAUUCGGAAUUACUGGGCUUAAAGAGUUCGUAGGCGGCAUUACAAGUAGGGUGUGAAAGCCCUCGGCUCAACCGAGGAAUUGCGCUCUAAACUGUCGUGCUAGAGGAACCUAGAGGUGAGCAGAACAGAUGGUGGAGCGGUGAAAUGCGUUGAUAUCAUCUGGAAUACCGGAGGCGAAGGCGGCUCACUGGGGGUUUUCUGACGCUGAGGAACGAAAGCCAGGGUAGCGAACGGGA
rnacentral:rRNA from 1 species